rnacentral:lncRNA from 1 species
AAAAUUGGGUCGGGGUGUCACAAAAUGAAUCUAAAUGAUCAUUAUUUUCAAUAUAAAGUUGACCUAAAUAACCAUAUUACGCUAAAAAUGCUGGAGUAACUGUGAUAGUUUUUUGUUUAUGCUCUACAUGCAGUGUUCUAUAUUCAACCAUGUUAAUACUAGCUAAGUAAAUAGUAUAAUGAGAAUAGUUUUUGGUAAUAAUUUUUAUACCAG